UCAGCCUGCCACGGACACAGCAGCAAGCGAACCCCGCCAUCACACUCAGCUCGAUCGGCUCUUCUCUGGCAUAUAUUCGCGAGUGUUCGUAGUGUCCGUUCAGUGUAGCGGCCGACCGACAAGACGUCGAACAACUGUAGCAGCAGGUGGUUUUAAAAAUGCGCCUUCUGCAGCCUCUAGCGUUUCUGUGUCUGCUCUCGGCACUUGUCACACAGGGCGUGGACUGCGAGCCGGUGUUGGCGACCGUCUACUACGAGGCCAAGUGCCCCUACUCACGUGACUUCGUGGUCCAGCAGCUGCUGCCCGCCGUCCUGAGAGACCCGGAGCUGGUCCGGCCAGUGCUCGUGCCUUUCGGGAAGGCGAACGUAACUGCGACCCCAGAGGGCUACGACUUCACGUGCCAGCAUGGACCGUCCGAGUGCCUGGGGAACCGGCUGCACGCCUGCGGCAUCGCCCUGGCCUCCAGUCGCACGCUGCAGGUCUCGUAUGCAGCCUGCCUCAUCAGCAACUACACCGACGUCCAGGCCGCCGCCCAAGAGUGUGCCGACGAGUUGGGCCUGCCGUUCUCAACCAUUUCCGAGUGCGCAAACGGUACAGCUGGUAGCGAACUGAUGAGGGCGUACGGGAACACCACGAAAGACUUGAGUCCUCCGCUGACAAGUGUACCGACAGUCACACUGAACGGGAACAGAGGCAACCAGACCGCCAUCUUGGAUGACUUCUGGGAAGAAGUUGUUAAACUCUCCGAAGAAACAGGACGGAGGAGUGGCGCCAGCCUCGGUGGAGGGCGGCCUCUGCCUCUGCUGCUGCUUCUGCUGCUGCUGCCAUUCUGCGGCCUGCUGGUGCGGUACGGGGCGUAGUGGGGUGCUGGGGGUCACCGCGUCUCAAGCUGGCGAAGUUCAGAGCUCGUCGUGGAAGCGGAAAGGUUGGAGACUAACAAACCUGACAUGCUGUACAGGCUACUGCUACUCGUUUAGUAAUUGCUUUAUCUCAGGAGUCUUAGUUUCUAGUAAUUUCUUAAGUGAAUGGAAUUGGAUAAUGGUUUCACUUUGAUUUUAUUUGAGAUUAUAUUUUCUGGUAGUAUUUCAGAAGUGUAUAGUGUUGCAGAAAUCAAUGUACAUGGAUUCAAUGAGGACUGUCAUGUAGCCAUUCAUAAUUUGCUACAUUUGUCAUUGCUGCUUCUGUCACACUAACUGGAGUAAUUCAUUUGCAGUAUGUUCAGUUAGACCUGGUUUGUUUUACACUGCUCUAGUUAUACUAAUAUUCAUUUUUCAAGUAACCACAACUUGCUAAGUAAAGUCAUAUCACAAAUCAAAUUUACUCACAGAACAAUAGGAUUAAUUCCACACAAAUAUUUACAAAUUCAAGAGUCAGUUUCCUCAUCCUAAUUCUCUCUCUCUCUCUCUCUCUCUCUCUCUCUCUCUCUCUCUCUCUCUCUCUCUCUCUCUCUCUCACACACACACACACACACACACACACACACACACACACACACACACCUUAUGAAUGAGAGGAAAAUGGAAUUCAAUAGUUACCUAAAAGUGCUGAGAGUGAGUGUUGUAAUACAUAGGACAGAGUGACUUCUGUCAUUCAAAGUUGGUGUCAAUUUAAAUAAUUAAU